AAAAAGGGAAAAAACCCGCCCGCACGACCUCCUUCUCCUCCCGCACGACCUCCUCCUCCUCCCGCGCCGUUCGCUUCGCGCAGCCGCGCCCUUCACCGCCGCCUCGCGCGCCGGAGCCACGGGAAGCCGCCGCAGGUCACCGGGAGCCUGCCCCUGCCGCGGGUCGCCGCCUCCCCAGCCGCGAGAGACCGCCCCGCCGCGGUUCGCCGCCUCCCCAGCCGCCGGAGCCGCCCCGCCGCGCCCUUCGACACCUCCGGAGCCGCAGCUUGGCCGCCACCACUCCGCCGCAGCUUGGGGGCAAUACCGCGGGAGGGGUCGUGCCAGCGGGCGCUCCGUGAUGGACGCGAGCACGGGCCGUUGUCACCGCCUGCUGCUCUCCUCUGCUGCACCAGGAAUGCGAGCUAGGGUCUCCGUCGUCGUUCCUCCAUGAAGCCGGGAAAGCCAUCACCGCCGCAGACGGUGUGGGGCUACCCGCCAGCGCUGGUAGCUUCCAACGAGCAUGUGAUGUGCCUGCUCCGCAACGGUCAUGCCCCGCGCUUGCUGACAAGGUAAGGAUGCUUUGGACCAGGGGCUUGCAGUAGUAGAUUGGCCAGAACUACAUCCAUGACUGCUUCGUGAACAGAACUGCCAUAUGUAUCCCGAUAUGAGGCGACAUUUGUUUUGUCUAUCUGCGUGAUGUGAGAUUAUUUACUCUUUUCUCAAUUGGGCUUGUGCAUGAAUUAGUGGAUGCACAUGAUAUGCUUCUAGAUGUAAGUUUAGAUAUUGAGUUAUUCAGUUGUGUUAGGAAAUCAAGCUCUGGGAGAUGAGUUAGGCCCCGCUUGGAUACGGUGUAAAUUUAUACAUCCGGAUUUAAUCUACAGGUGUAUUUUACCGGCUGCUGUGUUAUUUCCUCCUAAAUUGAAAACGACGGCUGGAGGUCUGUUUUGAUUACAGGGGUAUUUAGGAGCAAACCGACAAUCCAAGCAGAGCCUUAGUGGUUGUUUUUUAGCACUUUAUGAAUUUAGCUACGAUUUUAUGAUGUUGCAAAAGACAAUUGAAUUUUAUGAAAAACAUGUCUGGUAUUUUGUUCGAAUACAAACUAGAUGCUUCGUUCUUGCAUACCUUAACCCAACAAUGUAAAUAUAAGUGUGAAGUCCUAUUCAUUUCUCACUAUAGGUUGUGGCGCUGUACAUAAGUAAUUUUUUCUUUCUUCUUUCUUCUUUGUGAGACGAUUUGGAGUUAGGGAAUUUUUCUACUCUCUCCGUCCCAUAGCUUGAAAAAUGAUCUUAUAUUGUAGGAUGGAGGGAGUAUGAACUAAAAUUUUAGCAUAGAAGUAAUGCUGACUAAGCUGGUGAAAUCCUUCGACUGAGAUUCUCUGAUUGAUUCCCAUGAUUAUAUCGUCACACUUUAGGAGAUGAGUUUAUUUACAUACAUGCUUUGAGAUUAUAUCUUUGUAUUCAUAUUAAUGGCUGGAGCACACAUUUCCUUUUAUUUAUCAAUUAUAUUUUUUCUAUCCAAAUUCAGGAUUCUAAUCAUGUUCACGUUUUAAAAUAGUUGCCAGGGAGCAUGCUUAUAAUCUUUGUGCAGACCAGCGAAUCAACAAUACUGUUAGUUUUGUGUAAAGAGAAAUGUAAUAAAGAAGCCAUAAUUUUUCUGAAGGUUUCUUAGUUUAAGGAAACAACAAAAUUAACCAAUCUAUUACCUAAGGUGAGCAUGAAGACACUUUCAUACGAUGCCUUAGUAGUAUGGAAUAUGUAUAUUCCCUUUUUGAAAGUUUUCUUAAACUAAUUAGCGCCCCAUUAAAUUAUUCUCACAGUUUACAUGUUUUUAUCAGGUCAAGCAGGAUGAUAUCUCUGUUGUUCUCAUGACAUUUGGGAUGCUUGAAACUUUAUUACCUUUUGAGCGAAGAGCCGCCUUUGUUUUCAGAUACUACCUGCGCAAAAAAUCCCUACCAAGCGUUUGUAGAGAAGCAUAUGGGAGCUAAGAUAGUUAUGAAAAAAGAGACUUUGUUAUUUAUUUAGUACUGAAAUCCAUAACAUGGAUGCUAGAAUCUUUUUUUUUGUAUAUGAUUGAACAAAGUGAUUUUUUUCCAGAUCAUAAAUUGCUUGGAAAAAUGUAACAUUGAUGCUAGAAUCCCGACGAGACUAUGGCUGGUGAUGUAGAUUAUUUUGUAUGCUGAUGGUGCCGUGGCGGCUGCAUGGCGGAGGGCUGCACGCUCGACUUUGACAUCGCCGUCCGCAUAUAUGGUGGCGGGCGGGCGGAACCUCUUCGCACUGCUCCCGGAGGCGUCAAGGGCGUCAAGCCCUCUGUCGUGAUCGAAUCGGGCUCCCAGUGUUUCUUUGGAACACUGGAUUCCACUACCACGUGCAAUCAUUUAUUAGGUAAUAUCUGGACCUGUACACACCCAGAUUUCGGGGAUUUAUAAUGCGAGUGAGUUAUUAUGUUACUUGAAUUGGUGUACGUAAUCUGGUUUUGUUGGGGCUUUGUUUUCAGUUAUUCCAAUAGGUCACGGACUUUCCACGCGCUCAGACAGCAACAUUCUUUAUCCAAUGGGUGAUGUGAUUUUUUAUCCAUCUGAAUAUUGUGUUAUCAUUUGUUUUAAUUCAAGUGAUAUUACACAUGUAGCUUGCUGGGUAUAUUUUACAAUAGUUACCUUUGGAAAUUUCUUAGAGAUUAUAGAUGGGACAGAGACAACAUUGCAGAUACGUCGCAGCUGGGCACCAUGAUCAUUGCCCCCAUACCUCCUUUUUAUGUUAUGAAGAUAUACAUGAAAUCUGGUGCAAGCCCCACUACAGUUUUAUAUAAAGAUGUUGGAGGCAGCAUCGGAAGAGACAAGUCUGCGGGAAUCUUGUCCAAACUCCACAUCGCUGUCACCGAACAAAGUUGGAGGUGCAAUUGAAAGAGACCAGCCAGAUUCUUCUUCCGGGUAUUAAAAAGAAAACCUGGCUAGAGAUUUCAUGCCAUGCCAUUCCAUUUAUGUUUGCUUGUGUGCUUAUCAUAUCUGAUUACAUGAUUGACAUUUAUUUCAUAAUUAGCAUAUACUUCGACACAUGAUAUGUUUUGCUUUAUUUAUGGACAACAAGAUACGUUUACUUAUUGUGAUCAUAUAAGUGAACAAACAUAGCCAACGGUUAAAGUUUAUAUCUACUAUGUAUAUUUUUUUUCAUUCACACAUGUCUCACUGCCUUUUAAGCACUUAGAGAGAACUGGAGAUUGCUCUCGUUAAAUGUGAACAAGAUUGAUGUUCUUUUUUUUCCAAAAUAGUAAAUACUGUGUUCUCUUGAUUGUUUUUUGAUUUUUCAGCUUACCUGAAUCUAAGAAGUCCGACCAUCAAUUACUGAGAGAUUUUUGCUUCUAUCAUUCGUGGAACCAUAGAAAUGAAAUACAGACUGCGCCUCAACCAAUACUUCACAAUCUUUUUGCCCGAAGCAAACAGUAUCAUUAUUUAUAUAUUCUAAAUUAAAAUAUUUUCACUUGUGUGCUCAAGUAAAAUUUUACUGCUUAAAGGAGAAGAAACCAUUUUAUCACUCCUACAGUUCACAGGGAGAGAGAACAAGAAAGAAAACCUUCCACCACAAUCUUGUCUUCCUACUUACUUUUACUUACCAAGAAGAAUCAACAAUAAGGGAAUCUUUUAAGGAAAUGGAUAAAAGAUCAUUUUCAGUUAGUAAUGCAAAACAAUGUGAUGGAUGGUUUAAAAGAUUAUCUGGAUGAAUUCAUCUCCAGGGUAAAAGAAGCCAGGCAAUGUGCAUGACGUUUGAUUGGAAAUAAUGUUACCUUGAAAAUGUACGAGUGCUUUGUUGGCAUCUGACAUUGCAGAAUCAAACAUUGAUGCAUACCUUUGUAAAUUCUCUUGGGGAGAAAAAGUAUAAUUUGCAAGUUGCAACAUUGAUCCCAAAAUACAUGGUGUUCACACAUACCUAUUUUAUGUAGUUUGUGAUAAACCAAAAUGUUCAGUCUUUGAAAGUACCAUCAAUGACCUCUAUUUAUAUGGAGAGUUAUGAAAAAAUGACAUAAAACAACUUUGAACCUCUCUUGCUAGAUGUAA